UAAGUAUAGAAAGAAUUCACUAAAUGAAGUUCAAACAUUGCAGAUACAGUGUGAUUUAUAAGAUGUAAUCAGCAUCUUUGGUAAGAAAUCAUUAUGAUUGAAUUUCUAAGCUUUGUGGAGUUUAAACAUAAAAUGAACUAGAAGUGUGCCACAAGAUGGGAUAGAUAUUGUUAGAGAAAACAGAUAACUUUCAUAAUGAAUGUUUCUUAGUUUUGAUUCAGAUGCUAUUGGACAUAUAUUUUAUCAAUUUCUGGAAGGAAAAUUCCUAUCAAUUCUUAGAAGAAUGCUCUUACCUAUGGAAAACAAGGAAGAGACCAUUGGAUCCAACGUUCCAAAGUAAAAGAUGGAGUUUCCAAAUCAACUUGAAUUCAUCUCAGAGAAUGGCUUCAACACUUCCGAAGAAAAAUAUUCCAUUGAAGGACUCAAACUCCUCUUUAAAAAGGAUAACUAAAUUUGUUAUGCUCAUCCCUCCCCACCUUUCAAUAAAAAAAUAUAUCAUUGAGGUGCAGUUAUUUUGAGAACAGCCCUACUACUUGGGUGCUAGUUCUUUUUAUCUUACUGUUCGUCAGCCUAUCUCUACUAAUGACAUGGAUCCAUGGUUAAAUUUUUCUAAGCCUUUAUACUAUUUAUUGACCUCAUGCAAUUUGUAGCCAUCUUCUUUUCUAUUUUAUAAUCCAGUGGUUCAAGAUAAAAAAUUAUUAAAACUGUUGGUGCUGCCUCUGGCAAGGAAAAGACUCAACAGAUUCCCUUGAUCUAGCCUGCUCCCUGAUUGCUCUACUACUGUUUCUCUAAUUUAUUAUAUCAAUGAAUCCUGGUAUGGCUUUAUUGCAUUGAAUAAUCUGACAAGCACCAGAGUUUCCUCAGAGUAAUGCAAUCUCAAAGUUGGAGAUGCUAUAGAGAUUAAGGAAAAUGCAUCCUUUUGUUUCUAAUCACAUAAAGGAGUGUCCUGGGUGGGAUGGAUUUCCACAAAACUGUGCUAUAUGAACCUAUACAACCAUAAUAGCACCAAAAUAUAUAAUUUUUUGAUAUCUAAAUACCAUUCUUUAUUUAUUAAAAGGAAUCAGGGAUGCUUGGAAAAUAGCUGUCUGUAGCACUGAUGCAGGCAUAUAUACCGUGGGCCUGGGAUACCUUUCUAAGAUGAAAAGUAGUAAAAGUGUGUGGUGCUGGGGCUCACUAGGCUAAUCCUCCACCUUGUGGCGCCGGCACACCAGGUUCUAGUCCCAGUUGGGGCGCCAGAUUCUGUCCCGGUUGCCCUUCUUCCAGGCCAGCUCUCUGCUGUAACCAGGGAGUGCAGUGGAGGAUGGCCCAAGUGCUUGGGCCCUGCACCCGCAUGGGAGACCAGGAGAAGCACCUGGCUCCUGGCUUCGGAUCAGCAUGGUGCGCCGGCCACAGUGCGCUGGCCAUGGCGGCCAUUGGAGGGUGAACCAACAGCAAAGGAAGACCUUUCUCUCUGUCUCUCUCUCUCUCACUGUCCACUCUGUAAAAGUGUUAAAGAAUGAUGUAAAUAAGAAAUAUAUAUAUAAAUUGAGAUACAGAACCUACCAAGUUCAGGGUAUGUGGGGAUAUUAGACAUACAGCCUGAGGUUCAAAGGUAACGCUAUCUCAAAGUAGACUCAAAAAGAGUUAGAAACAUACCAGGGGAUUCAAAUUCAAUCCCAUCAAGGUGGCAUGUACCAAUGCCAUCUCACUAGUCCCAGUGAUCAAUUUCUGUUCACAAUUGAUCAUAAUGAUAGGACUAAGAACCAAAGGGAUCACAUAAAUAAGACUAGUGUCUGCAAAUACUAGCUCAUAGAAUAAAAAAGGGAGAGAACGAUCCA
rnacentral:lncRNA from 1 species